GCACAGCUGACGAGUCCCAAACAGGACGGAAGAGCUGUCCAGUGC
rnacentral:hammerhead_ribozyme from 1 species